GGCCAGGUAGCUCAGUUGGUACGAGCGUCCGCCUGAAAAGCGGAAGGUCGCCGGUUCGAUCCCGGCCCUGGCCACCGAGA
rnacentral:tRNA from 1 species